UUUGCCUCUUCACUUUUACGUCCCCCUCCCCGUUACACUUGGCUCUUUGAAAGCAAAGAUUACUUCCAGACUUCCUUCCUUCAACAGAAUACCGGAGGAAGGCUGCUUCUGGCAUCCUCCUUACAGAUGACUCACUCCCCAAAUCAUCCUCCGAAGUGCUGGUGCAUCUCUGCCCAAUUUGGGGAUGCCACAAGCCCAAUGCUAUCUGCUUCCUCCUGCAAGUCUCGAGGGGCUUGAUCCUUUGGGGGUGUUUCUUCUGGGGCUUCUCGUGUCAGCCUCUGUUAUUAUGAAUCACAGAAGAAAGUGAGGUCGGGUGGAGGUUUUGUGGAGUCCUUCCAAUAACCAUCUUGGUGAUUCCAUUACAGAGACUGGAAAACUGGCUCCUUGGUUUGGAAGCGGCACUGUCUGAGACUUGGUUCUUUGGAAAUAGACAAGGUCCCAUUCCAGGAGGAUUUUCAAGUAGAAGGUGAAUGGACAUCAACUAGGGACACUGAGAAUAAGGGCUUCAUGAUACAACGUUUGGCUGUCUCUUGAUGGGGAAGGGCAAGUGUGCUCUUGUGGUCAAGUAUGGGAGAGGUGGGUUCUGUCAUGUGGAAGUUUCUUUGAAAUUGCGAAUUUCCACUCAUGGAACAAUGGUGCCAUUAUAAGCUCAGCACCAAGGAAUGUAAAUGUCGCAUUAAAACCUUCUUGAGGUAUCUGCCGUCUCACAAUAUAUAUGCUUCAAAGUGAUGCUACUGCAUUAUAAUAAAGUAUCCUUUUGAUGACAUAUGAUCUGACAGAGCAUUUAUGUGUACGAAACAUCUUUCAAAGACAACACAAAUUGAAUAAUAUUUAGUUCUAUAUGUAAUAGAUAAGGAUUUCUUCAUACUACUUGGGGCACAAAAAUGUCAUAUUGUUUAGAGCCCUCACUUGUAAAGGGACGCAGGAAGUGUUCUGUAUUAAUCACUGGAGGGUUCUUCACUAUUUAGACUGUUCCAGGACCGCAAGUCUUAACCCUGAGAAAAGAAUCAGGAGAUUGUGGGCAGCUUUAUUCUUUAGUCCAUGGGUUUGCUUUGACGAUGCCCUUGUUCGGGCCCUAAAAUUUCAAAUACAGGCAGCUUCCCCUGCGGCUCCAUUCACCCCGGGCUGGACUGGCUGCAGUGAACUUACUUCACUGCUGCUCUCAGUUGUUAUGUGCAUGGUACACAGCCUCCCCACGGAGCCAUGAUGCUUUCUCCCUUCCAAGAUGCCUCUGCCUGAGGGAUCCUGAAUGAGAGUAGAGUGAUAAUAUUAGCCACUAUCAGAAAUGGAAAUCCCAGGGGCUGGCCCAGUGGCAUAGCGGUUCACAUGCUCUGCUGCGGUGGCCUGGGGUUCGCUUGUUCAGAUCCUGGCUGCAGACCCACCUACCACUUAUCAAGCUCUGCUGUGUCAGGCGUCCUACAUAUAAAACAGAGUAAGAUGGGCACAGGUGUUAGCUCAGGGCUGAUCUUCUUCAGCAAAAAGAAGAGGAUUGGUGGCGGAUGUUAGUUCAGGGCUAAUCCUCCCCAAAAAAGAAAAAAGAAAAGAAAUGGAAAUCCCAGCUACUCCAGUGGAUCCACAAUCAUCUUUUCUUCAAGUUGGAUAGAUCAUCCUUAGAGUUUGUUUGGUCUUUGUCAUCCAAAUAUAGUGGAGAAGAAGGGGGUUCUUCAAUCUGGCUCAUCUCCGUGUGGCUUGAAACAUACAAAUGGUGUCAACUUUCAACUGUGAGCCAGAGAAAUAUGACUCAAGACAGAUGUCUAACUGCACUUCUCUAAAGAAAGGGAAACUUUCAACUUUUCUUUUCCUAAAGUACCCUGUCAUCAGUAAAAAGAAACACCUUACCCUAUCACGUACCUUACAAUGUCCAGUGUUUUUCCAUCACUAACAGUAGCUUCCACUUACUUAGCUCCUUCUAUGUCUCAAGCAAUAUUCUAGAUGAUUUAUACAUUUUUAUGCAUUUAAUACAACAAUCCUGGUAUUAUGUAUUCUCACCCUAAUUAUUACAAAUGAUGAAACUGAGGCACCGGGGACUUACCUUAUUUGCUCAGAAAUACGUGGUUAUUAGACUUCUAUUUUGUGUAGCGAAAGAAAUAUAAUUAUUAAAUUGGAAGUGUUUGGGGAAAAGCUUAAAAUUUAAUCCCUGUGUUACAAUCUUUGUGAAUUAAGGUUUUGCCGCUUACCCGUUUGGUGUGAGACUCUAAAGAUGGGGUGGGACAGAAUAUAACUUCGGUGUCAUUUCAAAAUUUUAGAUUUAGUUCUUGGCCGUGAUACGGAGGUUUUGCAAAACAUGGAGAAGACAGCUCCCCUCUUCCUCCUGCAAAGAACAGAUUUUCUAAUCCUGGUUUUGCCAUCUUGGUGAGCUUGUUGAUCAUUUUGGCCACUGCUCUCUGGCAAGACCCUUGCCUUGCCCACUGCUCUCUUAAAAACAGCGCCUUUACAGCACAUGGAACUUUAAAGAGUAGAAAUUACAGUGACGUGGCUGAUUGUGCUGACAGUUUUUGAAGAAAUUGUAUUUAAGGGAAAUGCUAAUUGCAGAGCACAGCCAACAUUUUAAGAGAAAAUAUUUAUCUAAGCUGAACCAAGGUUUGUCUUUUAUAAUGUUUAUUAUGGAGAAGGAAAAAUAUUUUCACAGCCCUUAAAAUUUCCUUAAGCAGCAACUGUUGUUCUUUAGCAAAUCUGGGGAAGCCUCAGGGAUGAGGCAGCACAUUGGCCAAAUUGGGGAGCUUUCAUAUUUCCCAGGGAAGGAAACGGAUUUGAAGAAUGCUCCGGUCCAGAAGCAGAGGUGGAAAGGUGACCUCUGCUUGCUGUGGUGUGAACAGUUGAUUCCGUUCCUGUGAUGAUUCCUGUCUGUGCCCCAGCACUGAAGUUGCCCCAGUUUAUUAAACCGAGUUGAAUGGACAUUGCUGACGGGAGUAUUAGCACCUUUGCUUGCCAUGUGGUUGAACCCGACUAAUUCAUUUAUCUGUAAAGCCCCAGAUCAAACACCACUAUUUCUUGUAGUGUUUCUUGUCUUCCCCAGACAAAAUUAACGCUCUUUGGAUUUCCCAAAACACUUGUCAUAUACCUCCAUGCCUUGAUUUAGUAGGUCCAUUUCUCUACUAAACUGAGCUUUUUGAGAGCAGAAAGUAAGUGUCAUCUCUGACGUUGCAGUACCUGGUGGCAGAUUAUGAACUAAAGUGUUGAAAUUUGUCUAAUACCAAGGAAGAUGGGAACAUAAGUGACAUCUGUCUUUGGGGGGUUUUCACUCAAGUUCCUCCAGGGCUACCCUUUAUCUCAUGCUGUGUCCCCCAAAUGCCUGUGACCAUCUGCUCUUGGAUUCUUUGUUUACUCUUGGGCAAGGCUUCUCAGACUUCCUAUGGAGGCAUCAGAAACAUCAAACACUUGCUAGCUGUACCCCUCAAGAUCUGGAGAUUUGGAGCCAGCUGAAAUUUCUUGGCAUUUCAUACUUCAUCUCAAAAAUCUAUCUACAGUUUAUGUUUCACAUGUCCUGCUACAUGUGACAAGUUUUCUCAUAAAACUUCUGGAAAAUGUACAUCAUUUCAUAGUUCCAGAGGGGGUAGUUUGAGAAGGGUGGUGCUAAGCAACCAAAACUGAUCAUGGCUCAUUGUGGGCAUCUUCCUCGUAAGGCAUCAGAUGGCACUCUGCGAGGAGGAAUUUCUGAAACCUGGAAAUGAGGGAAUUCGGAGAGUAGUAUCCAGGCAGCAAUCACUUCAUUAGUUGUAUCUUAUUCUGUGUAACAAAAUUUGUUCCCAGUAGGGAUGUUAGAAUUAGUUUGGAGCCCAAGUUUUACUCUCUUGUUAAUUGCUGAUAGAAAACAUACCUUGUAGACUACUGAAAAGAGGAAAUGAUAACAACCUAUUUAGUGUUCUCCGAAAUUCUGUACACGUUACCUAAUAAUAUCAUAAAAGAGCUUACCCAGGUUUAGAUUGAUUUGUAUGAAUUGUAAACCAGUUUGUGCUUUUCCAUAUAAACAUCUCAGGUUGGAGUAACCAUUGACUGCAUCUUAAUUUUGGACACUGACCAGUAAUAAAAAUCAAGACACAAGUUAACCAAAGACAGAACAAUAUGUGCCAUGAAGAGUAAACCAUUCCUCCUUAUAGGCACUUUCCCAAGUCACUGAUUUUCCUCCUUGGGACAGGGUCAGAAUCCUUCUGUCAAACGCUCAGAUCAACUGCAGUCAGUAUGUACUAUGUAGGCGCCAUGGGGCAGUUUCUGUGCAGCUCUCUAUGAAAGGCCUGAGGGCUUUUCCCAGAGGAAGAUGUUAAUGGCUUUCUACAAUGAUGUGUUGUUUCUUUAACUUGCCCUGAGUUGAUGGAUUUCAAAUAUACAGUUGGACACAUACACUAAUCAAGUAGUGUGGGUUCCAUUUUGCCUUGCGGUGCCCAGCGUCCAUUUGUCAACCAGUGCCCUUUUCAGGGGUUGUCCUCUGAAAGCCCCAAGUAGAACUGUGAGGUUAGCAGGUAUCCUGUGGGGCAGUUUCUUCUUCAUAUUGCUUUUACUUUGGGGAGGUAUUUCAGAGAAUUUAUGCUCCCCACCAAGUAUCAGCACUAUGCAAAAGAAAUAGGAGAAAUUUUUUUAUAUUCUUUUUUAUUUUACUCAAUAUAUCCAAAACAUUAUCAUGUCAAGACGUAAUAUUGAAAGUUAUUAAUGAGAUAUUUUACAUUUUUAAUACUAAAUCUUUGAAAUCUUGUCUGUAUUUUACACUUAAAGUACAUCUCAGUUUGAGCUAGCAUUUCAAAUGCUCAAUAGUCACAUGUAGCUCAUGGUCCCUGUUUUGAACGUGGGUCAAAACCUUCUCUUUUUACCCAGACUCAUGCUUUCCUAAAUCUCCCAGGCUCUGAAGUGGCCACUCUUAAUAUACAAACUCCAUUUAAAGUCCCAUUCCUGACUCCCACCACUGGUGGUUAAGCAAAUCACUGCUUGAUUAAUGUAGUCACAGGCCCGCUCCUCCCAGCUCUUCAGGGCUCUCCCAGUCCCAGAGCUCUUCGUGGAAUCUGCUGAGGCCUGUGUUGGGACAGCAUUGUGGCUUUUCCUCUCUCUCUCCCCAGUUCUGCUUUCUUCUCUUCACCUCCCCACAGGUGUACCUCCUGAGCAUCCCUUCCAAUAACCUUCCUACAGGCACAUCUCCAACUCAGUGUCUGCUCCCCAGGGACCCCAAUCUGUGAUAGGCACUAAGAGUUGACUGUUUUGGUCUGACAAAGAGUUGAUGUGUAUAAUAUGUCUUACAGAAACAAUACAAGUUCAAUCAUAUUGAGUUCUAAUUGUAGUAGUUAUAGAUUUCUCCGCAAUACUGGUGUUGCCAGAAAUGUAACAUUUCCUUUCUAAGUUAAAUCAAAUCUGGCUCAGGGCUCUCACUUGAAGAAGUGGACAAGAGGUUCUGUACUUGUCAUUCUCUGUGGCUCUUUCCCCACCAUUGGCGCCAAGAUCCCAGGUCUCAGGUCUGAGAAAAAGUUGGUGGGGAGGUGGGCAGGCCCUGCCCAGGCCUUCUCACAGGCAGGCCACUCUCCUUGUGGCGUCCCUCACCCGGUGCUGGCCUGGGACCUCAGUGCUCCUCUCUGUACUGACAUGCUAGGUCCACAGACCCCCAUGUGACCACACGUGCCCUCUUCAUUAUAGAGGAGGAAAAAUAUUUUUACAACCUAUUUCCUCCCUUGAAAUUUCAGGCUUUAUUCAGCAAUUUCCUCAUCCACGAUGAGGGGAUUUUAUUCCUUAAACAGCAACUGUUGGCUGCCAGCCAACCCAGAGCCACCUCAGGAAAGUUGCAGAGCCCUAGCUGAGCUGGCUAACUUUCAUAUUUCCCCAGGAGAGGAAACAAUUAUAAAUCUCUCUACCCAAGAAACAGAGAUGUAGACGCAACCUCUGGUUCAUGUGCUGGCGACAGGUGGUUCAAUUUUUAGGAGGAUGCCUACCUUUUUUCCUGUUUAGGUCCUGAAAUUGCCCCCAUCCUCCUCUAUAUUAAGUUGGGUUGGGCAGCCAUUGCUGACAGAUGGACCAGAAGAGGUAUGAUUUAUCAUUGUUAUGGGUUGAAUUGUGUCCUCCAAAAAGAUUUGUUGAAGAUCUAACCUGCAGUAUCUCAGAAUGUGACCAUAUUUGGAAAUAGGAUAUUUACAGAUGUAGUUAGUUAAGGUGAGGUCAUACUGGAGUGGGGUAGGCCCUUAAUCCAGUAUGACUGAUGUCUUAGAAGAGGAGAAGAGACACAGACAUGGCGGGGAGAUCACCACGUGAUGAUGGAGGCAGAGACUGAGAGCUGCAGCUGCAAGCCAAAGAAGGCCAAAGACGGCCGGCAAACCAGCAGAGGCUAGGCGAGGCCCAGAAGGGCUCUCCCCUAGGUUUCAGAGGGAGUGUGGCCUGCUGACACCUUCAUUUCGGACGUCUAACUUCCAGUGUUAUGAGACAAUCAGUUUCUGUUGUGAGCCACCCGAUCUGGGCUACUUUGCUACGGCAGCUCUAGGAAACUAACACAGCCAUUAUCACAAAACCUUUAACUAGUGAAGGCAGAAAUAGCUCUGGUUUUCUGUCUUUCAGUCCAGAACUUGAUCCAGGCACUAUUCCCAAAGUUGCCAACUUCUAACUGCUUUAGGGAGACCAUCUGUUUAGAUCCUCUGGUGACAAGUAUUGCUGUAGUUUUAAUAAGCGGGUGAGCGCCAUGGACGUGACUUAGGAGCUGAGAGG
rnacentral:lncRNA from 1 species